UCUCCGUAGGUGAACCUGCGGAGGGAUCAUUACUGAGUGAGGGCCUCUGGCCCGACCUCCAACCCUUUGAUGUCCGACUCUGUUGCCUCGGGGGCGACCCGGCCUUCGGGCCCGGGGCCCCCCGUGGUCCACUCAACUCUGCAUCUUUGCGUCUGAGUAAACAUUAAAUGAAACAAAACUUUCAACAACGGAUCCCUUGGUUCUG
rnacentral:misc_RNA from 1 species